rnacentral:lncRNA from 1 species
UACUGAAUUGUUGUUGUUAUUUGAAAGAGACGUAAAUUGAACUCGAUGCACUUGAGCCUAACAAUCCGGUAAGACAGACAACGUAUUCUUCUUUAACAAGUUAAACCCGGGCAGCCCCAAUCAUACGUACAAAGGGACUAGGUAAUUUGGGCCUAUGGUGAAGGGUAUAACAACUAUACACCGAAUAAAGGCCAAUUUGCAACUACACUUAUUUGACAUACUUGGCCUCAUCAACAUUUGAAAAAUGGAAUUUCAUUACAGCCAUUGGACAAUUUUAUUUUUAAAGUCCAAAUACAGCUUAAUCAUAAUUCAAUUCAAAGAGUGCAAUUUAUUACUUAAGCUAUUUGUGUGUUUAUCUGAUUCUCAUAUCAAAGAUUUUACUGACUAUUUAUAAGAAUUGAAACCUCAGUGGCUUGGAUGAAACAUGCAAUCCAAUUAGAGAUUGUAGCUUAGUGCUCGACUUUGUUAACUAUAGAACACAAUUAUCUUAAGCUAGCAGGCAGGCCAAUAUAAAUGACAAUUGGCAUGGUUCAAAUUAUCACAGUCCUACUAGCUCAAGCUCAAUUUUUCAGUCCUAUACAAAUUAGAGAUUCAAAAGUCUCACAAAAACCCAAUCUAUGAGCAUGUGACAGUCCAUGACAGGUUAAUAAUUUGACUAAUUCAUUACAAUCAACUUAAAGUAACGAAUUCAUCAGAAAUAUAUCCUAAAACUAACUGCAAUUUAAUGGAACUAUAUAGAGCAGUAAAGGUCAAAGCAAGUAUCAAGCUGCCAUUGCAUUUACAGUGGAAAAAAUUACAUCAGACUGAUCUCAAGGUGUGUACCUGGAGAUGCGAAAUAUAAGAAGACGAAGAAGUCAAUAAAGCAGUGAUGAUCAGCAACACUUUGAGAUAACCAAACAGCAACAAUACACAGCCCAGAAAAUAAAAACAUAGCCCAGAAGGAAAUUUGCAACCAGAUAAAGGAGAGAUCAACUUGAAUAAAAUUCGAAACAGACCAAAUGACCUUGACAAUUACCCAGCAAAUACUCAACACUUCUAUUCAAACCCAAACUCAAUUGAUAUCUAGCUCAAUUGGACUUAAAGCCAUUCGAAAUCAGUAUAUAUGUCUCUGAAACAAAAACUUAGAAAGAAAUGGAAAUUAAACUGAAAAUUCCAGUGGAAUAGUAACUAUUUUUGAUUUUUCUAUAAGAUUUCUAUUUCUUUUCUUUUUUUGAUUUUUUGGAGUUUGAAUUUUGAACUCUAGAUCUGAAAAUUAAUGAAUGCUUUUUUUACUCUCAACUCCUCCUCCCGUUCAAGUCCCCUCUGUGUCUUUUUAUAUACCACUCUCAUCUUUUCAAUCCUUUUCUUCCGGAUCUUUAGGCCCUAAUAGAUAGUCAAAACUUAAAAAGUGGUCUUCCAUUAUUAACCGUUUAUUAACUAUUCAAUCCCACUUGAAAUUGUUCCAUCUUUUGACUAAUUCAUUAGUGUAUUACUCAUGACUUAGUCCCCCCAUACCAUUAUGUUUUGUUCCCUACUGUCACUUAGACAAUUCCUUAUUUUAAAUGGCACCUUUGUACCCUAUUGGACAGACCACUAAAAUGACUAUUUCAAUCUUUUUAAAAAUCCCAAAAUACCCCCUGAGAUUACUAUUUUUACUGCCCUGCCCUAAACUUCUUUGAUCUGUCAUUGAAUCUCUAUAGUUUCAAACCUAUCAAUUAUCUAAGACUAAUUUCUGACUAACAUCUACAACCAAUCCUUAAAAGCACAAUCCUUAAAAGUACAACCAUGCUACAGAUGUUCAUAGAAACAGCCAAGAAAUAAAGAAAAAUGAAUUGAGAAUUCCAGGAAGCAACAAUUACUUAACUCAGCAAAAUCAAGCAACAAUUCAAAUCAAUCCAAACAACAUUACCACAAGAACACAAUGAUUGAGAAAAGACUAUCCUAAUUCCAAAAUAAACCUAUAUACGAACAAGGCAUACUGCAAAUAUAUUAGAAUAGCCACAGCUUACACAGAUUUUAUUACUACUGUCAUGGUUUGAACCAUUCAAACCUAAAAGACUAAUCGACGAUACUUAAUUAAUCGAUUACACAGGCCAUAACAUAUAACAAUUAACAACAAAAAAUUAGAGACAAACAGACAAACGAGUGAUUUCCACAGCAUUGACAAAAAUAGGGGCUAUAAGAAAACUAACUAAUCGACGAAACUAAAAUAAAUGAUUUAUGAUUUACAACAUAUAAUCACAACAUUAGAACAGAAAUGAAUUUAGACCGAAUAAAAGGUCAGAUGGAGAAGAAGAACAAUAAUGAACAAAAGUCGAAAAAUCAAUACAACAAAACUAACAAAGAGACAAUAACAACAAAAAUAGAAUAGAAGGGGAAAGAAAAAGAUAUACCUUAAAAGAACAGAAAACAGACAGACUUUAGCUUCAACUCUAACUCAAAUUUUUUGACGCCGAACAGACCUUAAUCGAGUGUUCUCGACUAAGAACACUUGACCAACGUCGGUUAGGAACCCCAAAUUCCCUUAAUUUUGGACAGACCCCAAGUUUGGUCUUUCUAGGGUUCUUGUGGUUCGAUUUGGGAUUUGACUGGUUCCAACUAGAUUUGAAUGGAACCAAGGGAAGAUUGGAAACGAGGGAGGUUUGGGGGUGCCGUGGUGUGAGUUUGGGGUGGAUUGGGGUAGGUUCAAAUUCUGCUUGAAUAUUUGAUUGAAGAUUCCAGAAACUACCGGUUGAUUCGAGGUAAACGGGUAAUGGAUUUGUAUUGAGGGUGUUAUGGAGGUUCAAUGGUGUCAGUUUGGUGGCCGGCGGCGUCGUUGCCACCGGGUUUCACGCGAAAGUGUUCAAUGGCGGCUAGGGUUUCGGGGGAAAGGGAUUCGUCUCUAAGAGAGACGAUGGACGGGGGGGUUGGUUU